GACCUGGUGGCUCAGAGGGUGAAGCGUCUGCCUUCAAUGCAGAAGACCCAGGUUCAAUCCCUGGGUCG
rnacentral:tRNA from 1 species